rnacentral:rRNA from 1 species
AUUGAACGCUGGCGGCAGGCCUAACACAUGCACGUCGAACGAGUGGCGGACGGGUGAGUAAUUUCUGGGAAACUGCCUGAUGGAGGGGGAUAACUACUGGCAACGGUAGCUAAUACCGCAUACCAUCGGAUGUGCCCAUAUGGGAUGAGCUAGUAGGUGGGGUAAAGGCUCACCUAGGCGACGAUCCCUAGCUGGUCUAAGAGGAUGACUAGCCACACUGGAACUGUGACACGGACCAGACUCCUAAGGGGGGCAGCAGUGGGGAAUAUUGCAAAAUGGGCGAAAGCCUGAUGCAGCCAUGCCGCGUGUAUGAAGAAGGCCUUCGGGUUGUAAAGCACUUUCAGCGAGGAGGCGUUACUCGCAGAAGAAGCACCGGCUAACUCCGUGCCAGCAGCCGCGGUAAGUC